GAUGAACGCUGGCGGCGUGCCUAAUACAUGCAAGUCGAGCGAACGGACGAGGAGCUUGCUCCUCUGACGUUAGCGGCGGACGGGUGAGUAACACGUGGAUAACCUACUUAUAAGACUGGGAUAACUUCGGGAAACCGGAGCUAAUACCGGAUAAUAUUUUGAACCGCAUGGUUCAAAAGUGAAAGACGGUUUUGCUGUCACUUAUAGAUGGAUCCGCGCCGCAUUAGCUAGUUGGUAAGGUAACGGCUUACCAAGGCAACGAUGCAUAGCCGACCUGAGAGGGUGAUCGGCCACACUGGAGCUGAGACACGGUCCAGACUCCUACGGGAGGCAGCAGUAGGGAAUCUUCCGCAAUGGGCGAAAGCCUGACGGAGCAACGCCGCGUGAGUGAUGAAGGUCUUCGGAUCGUAAAACUCUGUUAUUAGGGAAGAACAAAUGUGUAAGUAACUGUGCACAUCUUGACGGUACCUAAUCAGAAAGCCACGGCUAACUACGUG
rnacentral:rRNA from 1 species